rnacentral:rRNA from 1 species
GGGGGAUAACUACUGGAAACGGUAGCUAAUACCGCAUAACGUCGCAAGACCAAAGAGGGGGACCUUCGGGCCUCUUGCCAUCAGAUGUGCCCAGAUGGGAUUAGCUAGUAGGUGGGGUAAUGGCUCACCUAGGCGACGAUCCCUAGCUGGUCUGAGAGGAUGACCAGCCACACUGGAACUGAGACACGGUCCAGACUCCUACGGGAGGCAGCAGUGGGGAAUAUUGCACAAUGGGCGCAAGCCUGAUGCAGCCAUGCCGCGUGUGUGAAGAAGGCCUUCGGGUUGUAAAGCACUUUCAGCGAGGAGGAAGGUGGUGAACUUAAUACUUUCAUCAAUUGACGUUACUCGCAGAAGAAGCACCGGCUAACUCCGUGCCAGCAGCCGCGGUAAUACGGAGGGCGCAAGCGUUAAUCGGAAUUACUGGGCGUAAAGCGCACGCAGGCGGUUUGUUAAGUCAGAUGUGAAAUCCCCGGGCUCAACCUGGGAACUGCAUUUGAAACUGGCAAGCUAGAGUCUCGUAGAGGGGGGGUAGAAUUCCAGGUGUAGCGGUGAAAUGCGUAGAGAUCUGGAGGAAUACCGG